rnacentral:rRNA from 1 species
GAAGGUUGGGUAACACUAACUGGAGGACCGAACCGACUAAUGUUGAAAAAUUAGCGGAUGACCUGUGGCUGGGGGUGAAAGGCCAAUCAAACCGGGAGAUAGCUGGUUCUCCCCGAAAGCUAUUUAGGUAGCGCCUCGUGAAUUCAUCUCCGGGGGUAGAGCACUGUUUCGGCUAGGGGGCCAUCCCGGCUUACCAACCCGAUGCAAACUGCGAAUACCGGAGAAUGUUAUCACGGGAGACACACGGCGGGUGCUAACGUCCGUCGUGAAGAGGGAAACAACCCAGACCGCCAGCUAAGGUCCCAAAGUCAUGGUUAAGUGGGAAACGAUGUGGGAAGGCCCAGACAGCCAGGAUGUUGGCUUAGAAGCAGCCAUCAUUUAAAGAAAGCGUAAUAGCUCACUGGUCGAGUCGGCCUGCGCGGAAGAUGUAACGGGGCUAAACCAUGCACCGAAGCUGCGGCAGCGACACUGUGUGUUGUUGGGUAGGGGAGCGUUCUGUAAGCCUGUGAAGGUGUGUCGUGAGGCAUGCUGGAGGUAUCAGAAGUGCGAAUGCUGACAUAAGUAACGAUAAAGCGGGUGAAAAGCCCGCUCGCCGGAAGACCAAGGGUUCCUGUCCAACGUUAAUCGGGGCAGGGUGAGUCGACCCCUAAGGCGAGGCCGAAAGGCGUAGUCGAUGGGAAACGGGUUAAUAUUCCCGUACUUGGUGUUACUGCGAAGGGGGGACGGAGAAGGCUAUGUUGGCCGGGCGACGGUUGUCCCGGUUUAAGCGUGUAGGUGUGUGUUCCAGGUAAAUCCGGUUCACUUUAACACUGAGGCGUGACGACGAGGCACUACGGUGCUGAAGCAACAAAUGCCCUGCUUCCAGGAAAAGCCUCUAAGCAUCAGGUAACAUCAAAUCGUACCCCAAACCGACACAGGUGGUCAGGUAGAGAAUACCAAGGCGCUUGAGAGAACUCGGGUGAAGGAACUAGGCAAAAUGGUGCCGUAACUUCGGGAGAAGGCACGCUGACACGUAGGUGAAGUGAUUUACUCAUGGAGCUGAAGUCAGUCGAAGAUACCAGCUGGCUGCAACUGUUUAUUAAAAACACAGCACUGUGCAAACACGAAAGUGGACGUAUACGGUGUGACGCCUGCCCGGUGCCGGAAGGUUAAUUGAUGGGGUCAGCGCAAGCGAAGCUCCUGAUCGAAGCCCCGGUAAACGGCGGCCGUAACUAUAACGGUCCUAAGGUAGCGAAAUUCCUUGUCGGGUAAGUUCCGACCUGCACGAAUGGCGUAAUGAUGGCCAGGCUGUCUCCACCCGAGACUCAGUGAAAUUGAACUCGCUGUGAAGAUGCAGUGUACCCGCGGCAAGACGGAAAGACCCCGUGAACCUUUACUAUAGCUUGACACUGAACAUUGAGCCUUGAUGUGUAGGAUAGGUGGGAGGCUUUGAAGUGUGGACGCCAGUCUGCAUGGAGCCGACCUUGAAAUACCACCCUUUAAUGUUUGAUGUUCUAACGUGGACCCGUUACCCGGGUUGCGGACAGUGUCUGGUGGGUAGUUUGACUGGGGCGGUCUCCUCCUAAAGAGUAACGGAGGAGCACGAAGGUUGGCUAAUCCUGGUCGGACAUCAGGAGGUUAGUGCAAUGGCAUAAGCCAGCUUGACUGCGAGCGUGACGGCGCGAGCAGGUGCGAAAGCAGGUCAUAGUGAUCCGGUGGUUCUGAAUGGAAGGGCCAUCGCUCAACGGAUAAAAGGUACUCCGGGGAUAACAGGCUGAUACCGCCCAAGAGUUCAUAUCGACGGCGGUGUUUGGCACCUCGAUGUCGGCUCAUCACAUCCUGGGGCUGAAGUAGGUCCCAAGGGUAUGGCUGUUCGCCAUUUAAAGUGGUACGCGAGCUGGGUUUAGAACGUCGUGAGACAGUUCGGUCCCUAUCUGCCGUGGGCGCUGGAGAACUGAGGGGGGCUGCUCCUAGUACGAGAGGACCGGAGUGGACGCAUCACUGGUGUUCGGGUUGUCAUGCCAAUGGCACUGCCCGGUAGCUAAAUGCGGAAGAGAUAAGUGCUGAAAGCAUCUAAGCACGAAACUUGCCCCGAGAUGAGUUCUCCCUGAGACUUAGAGUCUCCUGAAGGAACGUUGAAGACGACGACGUUGAUAGGC